CUGCGCUUUUAAAAAAGCGCAGCUCUUCACUAGUAGGGCUGUGCUUUUUUAAAUAAGCGCAAGGGCUGCGCUUUUAAAAAAGCGCAGCCCUACUAAGUGAAGGGCUGCGCUUUUUUAAAAAGUGCAGCC